UUAAAAUAUCCAAAAUUAUAAUUAGAAAUAUGAAGAUUAGUUAUAUUACAAAGGUAGAAUAUAAUGAUGGUUAAUACUGAAUAGAUAGUUGAUUAUCGAGAUAGGAUUGCUAAUACAUAGCCUACGUUUUAGGCCCCUUUCUUACUUUGCUUCUCCUCUGCCCUACUCGGGAACCAAACCCUUCAAAUUAUUCAAUUUCUUAACUAAGCACCCUCAUUUCUCUACUACGGUGGAAUUACUUGGACUCAACCCGGUGCUAUAAUCUCUGACAUGGCCUCACUGAACGCAAAGCUAACAGAUCAAAAAGAAGCUUAAAAUCACUAAGUAGAGAUUAUUAUUCUGAUAUCCAGAGAAGAGUGAAAGAGACUAACAAUUUGUUGAAGACAUUGCAGGUACAAGCCCUCCAAGAUCCGUCUACUGAACUUUUUCUCAAAAUAUACAUGAAUUGGUCCAACCCGAGAUGUAUUGAAGAAGAGUACUUUAAGUAGAUCUCGCAUAAUCUGGCUCAAGACUGGUGACCAGACACUACCUUCUUUCUUAUUAUCACCGAAUUACGUAACUCCUUGAACCCAAUAUGAGGGAGUUAUAACCACUGGCUCAGGAGAGUUUUGGAACUUCUUCUCUUCCUCCAGCUUCUUGCAACACAAGGCUUGUCCGCACUCUUUCAUAUCCAAGUGCAGCUCUUCUUUGAAGAAUUAUAUAGUGUGUCUCCCCUCAAAAACUGAGAUCACCUCGAAGGUAAGGUUCAUGAACCCAAAUAAGGCCCCUGGACCUGAAGGCUAUCUUCUAAUCACCUAACUAUUGCUUAGGGCAUCUUAGGAUAUGACUUCAUCAAAUGAGUUUCUCACUUUUUCACCUCUAAUGCCUAAAGCUACCAACUCAACAAUCCUUACCUUGGUUCCCAAAAACUCAUGGGCCUUUUCUAUCUCUGAUUACAUACCAAUAUCUUUAUAAGGUGAUAUCCAAGCUUUUGCUUUUCAGGUUGAAGCUGAUAGUCUCUGAUGUAGUCAUUAAAAAAACAUCGUUUGUCAAAGACAGAUUACUACUGAAAAUUGUCCUAUGUCAACUAAAAUAGUCAAUAAUUCUCACAUGUCAAAAGGCCCUAAAAAGCUUUACCUUAGAUCAUUGCAACAUAUGUAAAAGAAAUCAAAACAAUACCUUGGUAGUUGAAGCAGACAAACUACAAGGUGACUUCAAAUCACUUGCUUUUGGUGGAAAAACCGUAAGGUUCUCAAAAAAUUUUAAACUUUUUUCAUAGUAAAAAAGAAAUAGCUUCUCUCCCGAGAAAAAUGGAGUUGGCUCCAGCAAGGAAAGGACUCUACCCGCUGAUAACCUCACCAUUGCUUUCGGUAUCACUAUGCAUGUGUUGCAAUGAUGAUCAUCUC
rnacentral:lncRNA from 1 species